CUCUUCGGAGAUAGUGGCAGACGGGUGAGUAACGCGUGGGGCACCUACCCUUUGGUACGGAACAACAGUUGGAAACGACUGCUAAUACCGUAUGUGCCCUACGGGGGAAAGAUUUAUCGCCAAAGGAUGGGCCCGCGUUGGAUUAGCUAGUUGGUGAGGUAAUGGCUCACCAAGGCGACGAUCCAUAGCUGGUCUGAGAGGAUGAUCAGCCACACUGGGACUGAGACACGGCCCAGACUCCUACGGGAGGCAGCAGUGGGGAAUAUUGGACAAUGGGCGCAAGCCUGAUCCAGCCAUGCCGCGUGAGUGAUGAAGGCCUUAGGGUUGUAAAGCUCUUUCAGCGAGGAGGAUAAUGACGUUACUCGCAGAAGAAGCCCCGGCUAACUUCGUGCCAGCAGCCGCGGUAAUACGAAGGGGGCUAGCGUUGUUCGGAAUCACUGGGCGUAAAGCGCACGUAGGCGGAUUGAUAAGUUAGGGGUGAAAUCCCAGGGCUCAACCCUGGAACUGCCUUUGAUACUGUCAGUCUAGAGACCGAGAGAGGUGAGUGGAACUCCGAGUGUAGAGGUGAAAUUCGUAGAUAUUCGGAAGAACACCAGUGGCGAAGGCG
rnacentral:rRNA from 1 species